UUUUUAAAAAGUGUUAGUAAAAAAAUCAGGUACAGAGGGCCGGGAAUAUGGUCUAUUGGCAGAGUCCUUGCCUCACAUACAUGAAGCCCUGGUUUUGAUUCCUCAGCACCAUAUAUAUAGCAAAAGCUGGAAGUGGUGCUGUGGCUCAAGAGGUAGAGUGCUAGCCUUGAGC